GUAUCCUAGAAAACGGGGAAAAAUCUUGUAUAAUAGAUGUAAGUUUUACUUUCUCAUCAACAAUUGGAGAAUGUGUAUGGACAUGUUACCAAGCUCCCCUCUAUAAAAACAAGGACGGAAGAAAAUAAUUUCUCAAUCUUAUUUAUCAAGCUCGGUACUAGAGAACCAUUUUAGGAAUUUGAGGUAUCACUAAUCAGCAUUCAGCCGCGCGCAACAAGUCAAAGAUGGAGUCAAGCAAGUUAAGACCCUCAGAUCAAAUCAGGUUUAAUAUUGCUGGUUGUAGACUGCGAAUGAUAGCUCAAAUGAUGUAAUACUAUUAGGUGUCGUUUGGUAUGGGUAUAAGUACAAUCAACAAUGGUAUAAAAAUUUAAUACCACCUUAUACCUUGUUUGGUUACUAAAUUUGGUAUAAGUUAUCCCGGUGUUAAUUUUAACACGCCG
rnacentral:lncRNA from 1 species